UACGAAGGAUGCAAGCGUUAUCCGGAUUUAUUGGGUUUAAAGGGUGCGUAGGCGGACUUAUAAGUCAGUGGUGAAAUCUCGUUGCUUAACAACGAACGUGCCAUUGAUACUGUAGAACUUGAGGAUGAGAGAGGUGAGUGGAAUUCCCAGUGUAGCGGUGAAAUGCGUAGAUAUCGGAAGGAACACCUGUGGCGAAAGCGGCUCACUGGACCAUUACUGACGCUCAGGCGCGACAGCGUGGGGAUCAAACAGG
rnacentral:rRNA from 1 species